rnacentral:rRNA from 1 species
AUUGAACGCUGGCGGCAGGCCUAACACAUGCAAGUCGAACGAGUGGAGGACGGGUGAGUAAUGUCUGGGAACCUGCCUGAUGGAGGGGUAUAACUACUGGAAACGGUAGCUAAUACCGCUUACCAUCGGAUGUGCUCAGAUGGGAUUAGCUAGUAGGUGGGGUAAAGGAUCACCUAGGCGACGAUGCAUAGCUGGUCUGAGAGGGUGACCGGCCACACUGGAACUGAGACACGGACCAGACUCCGACGCGAGGCAGCAGUGGGGAAUAUUGCGCAAUGGGCGCAAGCCUGAUGGAGCCAUGCCGCGUGUGUGAAGAAGGCCUUCGGGUUGUAAAGUACUUUCGGCGGAGAAGCGGUACCCGAAGAAGAAGCACCGGCUAACUACGUGCCAGCAGCCGCGGUAAUAC